CCGCACCACACCCACUAUAAAAACGGAGUGGCGAAUCAGCCUAAGCCACCCACCGUUCGUUUUCCUCUGUUCUCUCUCUCCGAUCCUUCCUUUUCUCGCGAAGAGAGAGAGAGAGAGAGAGAGAGAGAGAGAGAUUUUGAGAUCUCGAGAUCUCGAGCAAUGGAGAGAGAGAGAGAGAGGGAGGAGGAAGCGAGGAAGAAGAAGCGGAGACUCCGAUCCCAAGCGCGCGACGAGAGCGAGAGAUCGUCCGGGUAAUCCAAUCGACCUCUGUUUUCCGAUCCGAUCCUCGAUUACGAUCCUUUUCCUCUAUUCUCUCUUGGAUCUGCGAUCGAUCUCGUUGUUCUUAGGGUUUCGGAUCUCCGAUUCACCUUUUAAAUCGUUGUAACUGAUGGAUUGAUCGGUUUUUCUUCCAUUUCUAUGUUUAUUUUGAUUGGAUCUUCGAUUCCGAUCAUUCUCCUUUAUUAUUCCAUGGGUCUUCGAUCGAUCUCGGUUUUUUUAUAGGUUUUGUGGUCUUUUAGUCCUGUUAUUCCGUCUUAGCUGUUAGAUGGGUUGAUUUUAAUUACUAUUGUUGAUCGAUUUUAUCGAUUAAUAGCUUUUCUAUUUGAUCGAAUGCAGUAUUUGAAUUUGAUGUUGUAAAUCUUGGUUUCGGCUUCCCAUUCCUGUUAGAUCUUGUAGAUUUGGGGGGUUUGAUAUGUUUUUGGCGUUAGUUUGUUGCAUUAGGGUUUGGAUCUGCUGGGAUCUGUAGAGAUCUAAGUUGAAUUGUUGUGGUGUGUUGUUACAGGAG
rnacentral:lncRNA from 1 species